UAAGAAAAAUAAUUUUUAAUAUAGAAUUAAUUAGUAUAUUGAAAUUUAAUUUUAAACUAUAGUUUAAAAGUACCGUGAGGGAAAGUUUAAAUAUAAUGAAAAAAUUUAAUUUUAGAAAAGAAAAUAUAAAAUCUUGUACCUUUUGUAUCAGGGAGAAUUUAAAUUUUCUAGGUAGAGUAGAUGUCCCGAAAAAAGAAUAGCUAAAAGAUUAAAGUUGUCCUAGUAGCAAAUAGGUUUUUAAUAGCUUUUUAGUGGUGAAAUACUAGUCGGGUCUUUUGAUAUCUGGUUAUUUCAGAAAAAAAUUUAAUUUUGUUCAAAUGUAGGUAAAAUUAAUUUGAUUAAAAAAUUGGAGGGAAAAGCUUCUGGUUGAUAAAUUGGAUAUAGAGUAAUAUGAUUAGAUUAAUUUAAACUAAGCUUAGAAGUAGCUAUGUUGAUAAAGUGUUUUAACUAAAAUCCUCAGUGGUUGAUAUUUGUAUCACUCUUGUCCUGCAGUUAUGGAAUUAUGACAAAGAAUAUUAAAUUGUCAGAAAUAAUGAUUUUAUUAGUAAAAUUGUCUUUGUGAGUAAUUGAUUAAAUGAAAUAAAAAUUGCUUUUUGUUAUUGAAUUAAAGAUGCAGUAAAGGAACUCGGCAAAUGAAAUUUCUGCCUGUUUAUCAAAAACAUGUCUUUAUGAUAAUUUAUAUAAAGUCUAGCCUGCCCAGUGAUGUUUAAAUUUAACGGCCGCGGUAGUAUGACCGUGCUAAGGUAGCAUAAUAAUUUGUCCUUUAAUUGGGGACUGGUAUGAACGGUUGAACAAGAAAUUAACUGUCUCUAUUGCAGAUUUUGAAUUUUACGUUUAAGUGAAAAGGCUUAAAUGAGAUAGGGGGACGAUAAGACCCUAUAAAUCUUUAUGUUUUAACUAAUAAAUUUUAGGGAUUAGUUAUAUACCUAGUAUUAUUAGUUGAAAUAUUUUGUUGGGGCGACAGGAGUAUAAUAAGUAACUGCUUUGUUUAUAAAAUUAAUUGUUUUUAUUGUGGAAAUUGGUAUGAUCCUCUUUAGAGAAAUCAGACUAAGUUACUUUAGGGAUAACAGCGUAAUCUUUUUUGAGAGUUCAUAUCGAAAAAAUGGUUUGCGACCUCGAUGUUGAAUUAAAGAUCCUUGAUGGCGUAGGGGCUAUUAGGGGAGGUCUGUUCGACCUUUAAACCUUUACAUGAUUUGAGUUCAGACCGGCGUAAGCCAGGUCGGUUUCUAUCUCCUAUAAAAAGUGUAACUCUUUUAGUACGAAAGGAUUUAAGAGUUGAAAUAGUUUUUUU
rnacentral:rRNA from 1 species